CUUCAGUGUCAAAGUAGACCAGUUACAUUAUAAUGGCAUAUUCUGCAUGUGUUCAAUAUAGCCUCAGUAAUCCAACAGUCCUGGUAAAAGGGCCCAAAAUGAUCGGUAUCAGAGAUGUGAUGGAGUAAAGGAGUCCAACUAACUCUGCAGAUGGCAACAACAAGGUAUAAUAACCUGAAAACAGAUUAAUCUCUCAGAUUGGAGGAUUCACAAUGGAGAGCUACAUAAUUUUGAUGUCAUAUCUAGUGUACACUACACAUAAAACGUAUUGUGGUGGUAUGAAUAUAUUCUAAAUUGAAGCCGUCCUGGCUUUAUUCAGGCAGAAAUCUUUGUUUACAGAAAUAGCAUGUCAACUGAGUAAAAAUGAAUACACAACUAU